rnacentral:lncRNA from 1 species
UGUUUUAGAUCCGAUCUUGCAAGUUGUAGUUACCUACUAUGUGUUAUGAUCCGGCAACCCUGGAGUGACAAUAACCGGAACCACUCCCGGUGAUGAUCAUAGUUUGAGGAGUUCAUGUGUUCACCAAGUGCUAAUGCGUUGGUCCGGUGCUUUAUUAAAAGGAGAACCUUAAUAUCCCAUAGUUUCCUUUUGGACCCCGCUGCCACGGGAGGGAUGGACAAUAGAUGUCAUGCAAGUUCUUUUCCCUAAGCACGUAUGACGACACACGGAAUGCAUGCCUACAUCACAUUGAUGAACGGGAGCUAGCCACAUAUCUCUCCGUGUUAUAGCUGUUGCAUGAUGAAUAUGACCCAAACAAAUCACCGACCCAUUGCCUACGAGUUUGUCCUACUACUGUUGUUACUUGUCUUGCUCUACUGUUGCUGCUACUACUGUUGCUACUCUUGUUACUUGUCUUGCUCUGCUACUGUUGCUACUUGCUACUGUUGUUCCUUGCCAGUGCUAUUGCUCGUUACACUGCCGUUACUCGUUACUUUGGUGUUACUACUGUGCUUGCAGAUACUAAUCUUUCAGGUGUGGUUGAAUCUGACAC